rnacentral:rRNA from 1 species
CUUGUACACACCGCCCGUCACACCAUGGGAGCGGGUUCUGCCAGAAAGUAGUUAGCCUAACCGCAAGGAGGGCGAUUACCACGGCAGGGUUCGUGACUGGGGUG